GUGCACGCUGGCGGUAGGCCUAACCCAUGCAAGUCGAACGGCAGCACAGUAAGAGCUUGCUCUUACGGGUGGCGAGUGGCGGACGGGUGAGGAAUACAUCGGAAUCUACUUUUUCGUGGGGGAUAACGUAGGGAAACUUACGCUAAUACCGCAUACGACCUACGGGUGAAAGCAGGGGAUCUUCGGACCUUGCGCGAUUGAAUGAGCCGAUGUCGGAUUAGCUAGUUGGCGGGGUAAAGGCCCACCAAGGCGACGAUCCGUAGCUGGUCUGAGAGGAUGAUCAGCCACACUGGAACUGAGACACGGUCCAGACUCCUACGGGAGGCAGCAGUGGGGAAUAUUGGACAAUGGGCGCAAGCCUGAUGCAGCCAUACCGCGUGGGUGAAGAAGGCCUUCGGGUUGUAAAGCCCUUUUGUUGGGAAAGAAAAGCGGCAGGUUAAUACCCCGCUGUUCUGACGGUACCCAAAGAAUAAGCACCGGCUAACUUCGUG
rnacentral:rRNA from 1 species